UCCGUAGGUGAACCUGCGGAAGGAAUCAUUAAUGAAUUUUAGGACUCUCUUUUUAGAGGUCCGACCCUUUCAUUUCCAUACACUGUGCACACACUUCUUUUCACACAUUUUAACACUAUAGUAUAAGAAUGUAACAGUCUCUUUAUUGAGCAUAAAUAAAAAUAAAACUUUCAGCAACGGAUCUCUUGGCUCUCGCAUCGAUGAAGAACGCAGCGAAUUGCGAUAAGUAAUGUGAAUUGCAGAAUUCAGUGAAUCAUCGAAUCUUUGAACGCACCUUGCACUCUUUGGUAUUCCGAAGAGUAUGUCUGUUUGAGUGUCAUGAAACUCUCAACCCCCCUAUUUUGUAAUGAGAUGGGCGUGGGCUUGGAUUAUGACUGUUGUCGGCGUAAUUGUCGGCUCAGUUGAAAUACACGAGCAACCCAUUUGAAAUAAACGGUUUGACUUGGCGUAAUAAUUAUUUCGCUAAGGACGUUUUCUUCAAAAGUAAGAGGUGCUUCUAAUGCGCUAUUACAGCACUUUAAAUUUUAGACCUCAAAUCAGUCAGGACUACCCGCUGAACUUAAGCAUAUCAAUAAGCGGAGGA
rnacentral:rRNA from 1 species